AAAGGUUGCCGUGAAAAAGAAAAAUCUUUCUAAAUACGAGGAGGAGGGAGAAGUGGAUGAUGAGGCGCGUCAUGACACAAAGAACAAGGUACACUACCAGUCUGCAUCCAGUGUGUGUUAUUACAUUGCAAUACAGUAAAGAUAAGUAAGACUUUUAUAAUAAAGUGCAUUACCAGUAGCUGUUACAAGGUAUGACACCAGCACAGUAGUCAACUUUGUCCUCUCUCUUUCUCUCUCCCUCCCAACGGGCCAGAGAAGAGGAGGAGCAUAUUGGGGAUGAAGACGACAAAGUACCAGCCUCAAAGAAAAAGAGCGCUGCUGAAUUUAGAAAGCAACUGGACGAACAGAUGUGGGAGAGAAAAAAAAUUGAACAAAUGCAAAGAAAUUUGCAGGAGUUGCGAAAUGAAGUUCCGUCUCUCAAAAGUGAAAAUGCACAUCUGAAAGAUGUUCUGGAAUGGGAAGCAACCUGAAUGGUACAAAAACAUGUUGCUAAUCUCUUCUGUCCUUAAAAAAACAAAAAACAAGUCAGUCAUAUUCUGUGGAAUGAAUCAUGUUUGUGUGCGGGCAUACCAUCGCUUUUUUACACCUCAAGAAAACAUGAUGUGAUGUGUGUAUAUAUAUAAAAAAAACUCUUGCUUACUCCACCUUCAUUUUACCUGCCUUUCAUAAUAAUUUUGAAAUUUUACUUUAAGGUGGGAAGCCAACCAGAGGGGACGGGGAGCAGCUGGUUGCCCUGGACAAAAUAAAAAAGGCAGCCAUUAUUGCUGAGUAAAUGCAUAAUGUGUUGAGAAGGGAAAACAAAACUUUUAAGACCUUACAAGUUCACCACUUUAACCAUAGCCUACUUGUAUCAAUGUUUAUUAGGCAUCAAUGGAGACUGCAUAAGAUGCUACAUUGAAGAAGUGGCCGGCAGCCAGCCGAGGGCAGAUAGGCACAGCUAUAAAUUCCAAGCUCGCAGUGAUGCGAAGAUCCAUGAAAUUAUUUUUUUUC